rnacentral:rRNA from 1 species
AGCGAACGAUGGCGGCAGGACGAACACAUGAAAGUCGAACGAACUCUUUGGAGCUAGUGGCGGACGGGUGAGUAACACGUGGGUACGUGCCUUUAGGGUCGGAAUAACUCAGGGAAACUUGUGCUAAUACCGAAUGUGACCUUCGGGCGAAAGAUUUAUUGCCCUUAGAGCGGCCCGCGUCUGAUUAGCUAGUUGGUGAGGUAAAGGCUCACCAAGGCGACGAGCAGUAGCUGGUCUGAGAGGAUGAUCAGCCACAUUGGGACUGAGACACGGCCAAAACUCCUACGGGAGGCAGCGGUGGGGAAUCUUGCGCAAUGGGCGAAAGCCGGACGGAGCCAGGCCGCGUGAAUGGUGUGGGUCUUGGGAUUGUAAAAUUCUUUCUGCAGGGACGAUAAUGACGGUACCCGGAGAAGAGGCGCCGGCUAACUUCGUGCCAGCAGCCGCCGUAA